AUGGGGAUUCCGGAUCCUAAUUCUGCACGAAGUCUCCUGACGCUGGUGGCGCUCCUGGUGCUGAUUCAGGGGCUCCGGGCGGCCGUGACCCUGCUGGAGUCCGGGGGGGACCUCCAGCCCCCCGGGGGGUCCCUGCGCCUCCUCUGCCGAGGGUCCGGGUUCAGUUUUGGCAGUUUCACCAUGUACUGGGUUCGACAGAGACCCGGGCAGGCGCUGGAGUGGCUCGCAGGGAUCUACAGCACUGGUGCUUACACCUACUACGCGCCGUCGGUGCAGGGCCGGUUCACGAUCUCCAGGGACAACGGGCAGAGCUCGGUGACGCUGACCAUGAACAACCUCAAGGACGAGGAUUCUGCCGUCUAUUUCUGCACCAAAUAUGUCAAUACUGGUGCUGGUGCUAAUGCUGCCUAUGAUUGA